rnacentral:rRNA from 1 species
GGCCUAACACAUGCAAGUCGAGCGCCGUAGCAAUACGGAGCGGCAGACGGGAGAGUAACACGUGGGAACGUACCCUUCAGUUCGGAACAACCCAGGGAAACUUGGGCUAAUACCGGAUACGUCCGUAAGGAGAAAGAUUUAUCGCUGAAGGAUCGGCCCGCGUCUGAUUAGCUAGUUGGUGAGGUAACGGCUCACCAAGGCGACGAUCAGUAGCUGGUCUGAGAGGAUGAUCAGCCUCACUGGGACUGAGACACGGCCCAGACUCCUACGGGAGGCAGCAGUGGGGAAUAUUGGACAAUGGGCGCAAGCCUGAUCCAGCCAUGCCGCGUGGAUGAUGAAGGCCCUAGGGUUGUAAAGUCCUUUCGACGGGGAAGAUAAUGACGGUACCCGUAGAAGAAGCCCCGGCUAACUUCGUGCCAGCAGCCGCGGUAAUACGAAGGGGGCUAGCGU